rnacentral:rRNA from 1 species
UACGAAGGGCGCGAGCGUUUACAGGAAUUAUUGGACAUAAAGAGCUCGUAGGCGUUCCGUUACGUCUGCCGUGAAAAGCCGGGUCUCAACCCCGGGCCUGCGGUGGAUACGGGCGGACUAGAGUCCGGCAGGGGAGACUGGAAGUCCUGGUGUAGCGGUGGAAUGCGCAGAUAUCAGGAGGAACACCGGUGGCGUAGGCGGGUCUCUGGGUCGGAACUGACGCUGAGGAGCGAAAGCGUGGGGAGCGAACAGG